AUAACAGUGAUAACAGUGGUAACAGUGGUAACAGUAGUAACAGUGAUAACAGUGGUAACAGUAAUAACAGUGGUAACAGUAGUAACAGUAGUAACAGUAGUAACAGUAGUAACAGUAGUAACAGUGGUGGUGAUGGUUAUAGUGGUCAUGACAACAGUAGAGAUAGUCAUAAUGGUAAUGACAACAGUAGUAGUAACAAUAUGAACAAGAGUAAUAAUGUUAGUGAUAGUAAUAAAAACCAUAAAGAAGAAGAAAAUAAAUUUAUAAUUUAUGAUGAAAAUAAAAAAGAUAUUAUUAAAAAAUAUGCAAAAAGUAUUGGUAAUAAUGUAAAAAGUAAAAAGAGAAAAGCAAAAAGCUUUGAUAAAAACAUUAACAGUAAUAAUAUAUUUAAAAUUAUAAAUAACCAUAAUUCUCAAGGUAGUAGUCAAAAUGGCAAUUUCAAAGAUACGCAAAGUCGUAUUGAGUUAUAUAGUGAAAUUAUAAAAAAUUGUGACUUAGAAAAAUCGAUUAAACACGAAAAUGGUCAUAAUGGCAAUAGUAGUAAUAGUUGUGAUAGUAGUAGUAAUAGUUGUGAUAGUAGUAGUAAUAGUUGUGAUAGUAGUAGUAAUAGUUGUGAUAGUAGUAGUAAUAGUUGUGAUAGUAGUAGUAAUAGUUGUGAUAGUAGUAGUACCAAUUUUGUAAAAAAUAUUAAUGAAUUUUUUAAAACCCAUAUAAAAAACCACACAAAUUAUGAUCAAAGUAAUGAUAACGAUAAUUAUAACUUUGAUCAGACAAAAACAAAAUCUGUUAACAAUUUCAAUGAAAUAGUAGAUAUUUCACAUAUAACAAAUGUAAAAGACAUGAAGAAAUUUAAUAUAUUUGAACACAACUUGAGUAAAUUAUUUUUAUUUGACAUUUUUAGCAAUUAGGUUGAACAUAAAUCGUCCAUAAUGCUACUGUUACUACACUGAUGGUGAUGAUAGCAGUAGUAGUAUCCGUAGCAAUAGCAGUAGAAAUAGCAGUAGCGGUUAUAAUAAUAAAUAUUUUUUUGUUUUUUUCA
rnacentral:lncRNA from 1 species